AUUUGGACACAGACUUCUAUUACACCACGCCCACUCCGGCCCGUUCGCCAAUCAUUGCUUGUCGAGGGGAUAAAAGUAGGCCGUGCCCUUCCUCCUGAACUCUCGCUUCCUGCCUCUUCGGCCCGUCCAUUUCCGGGUCGUUGCCCUCGCCGCUCACCUCAGAGCACAGAUCUGCCGAGAUCCUCAUCACAAUCGGGGCAAUGUAUUGGGGUCGUUUACCGCCGCUGACCAGAGCAUAGUCUGCUUGUCGCAUGGUGCGUGGUGGCUGUCUCCCCCGCUACGCCGAUACUCUUCACCCCUCUCCCUCUUUAGAAGGGACGCAUAAUGAUCAGACUGAGAACCGGGAUUAAGAACGCAAAACCGAGAAUACCUUCCUUGGUUAUUUACUGAUUGUUGCUUAAAUUGUCAUUGCUGCUGCUUCGUUGCCACUUCCGCCGACUUGGUUCGGGGCUCUGUCUACUGCCCCUGGUCGGCUUGCCUCCAGCUGCUAGCCCUGUGGCCCGCUGCUGCUGUGCGUGGUGCGGUGUGUGCCUGACCUGUGUGGCUGCCGCUCGGGUGUGCCGCUGCGAGCUCCGCCUGGACUCACCCCUGGUUUGGAGUGUGUGUGUGCGUUUUGAGUUAAUCUCUUAAGUUUUGUGUCGUUGUUCAUUUAAUUUUCAUUUGGAAGGGAAACUUCUCAAUCUGAGCCCUUGUUUAUUUUUGUUUAAAACAUAUGUUAUGAUUACUUGUUGAGUUGAUAUCUCUGGUCCGAGACUCUUUAAUUUUCUUGUUUUCUUUCAUUUUGAGUGAUUUUUGGUUAUUGCAAAUUAAUACUCUUUAGUUUAUUGAUUUGAUUUGUUAUGUGAUAUUGUCUGUCAGUUGUGAGCCCUCCUAACUGUGCCCCUUUCUCGUAGAGCUGAAGGCCGACGGUGGUGGCGGUGGUCCUCCUGGGUGGUGGUGGUGAUCCUUCGUGUGCGUGUGCUUUGUUUUAGAUUUUGUUCGUUUGGACUUCACGUUUUUGCUGUGUGUGUGAGGUGCCCUUGUUUCUUUCGUUAGAUUUAAUUUCCCCCUGACGACCACUCUCCCAGCCGGUAAGCCUCAGCUUGCACCUACGUCCUUCCCCAGUUGGGCUUACUUCUCUUUUUCAUCUUUUAUGCCAAACUGUGUUUAUAAUAAUAAAAUGCUUUGUUAUAUUUGAACUCUGUCUCCCGCCCUCCCUGAUUGAACGAACCUGAUAGUCUUAUCGUCAGAGGUGACAAUUAUACUCGUAGUGUAUAGGUCCUUGGGCCCUAACCCAAGGUGGCGUUGUCGGUAACAGAGAAAAUACUCUGACAUAAAAUAGUAAAGC